rnacentral:rRNA from 1 species
UACGUAGGGUGCAAGCGUUGUUCGGAUUCAUUGGGGCGUAAAGGGUGCGUAGGCGGCGCGGUAAGUCGGGGUGUGAAAUCUCCGGGGCUUAACUCGGAAAGGUCAACUGAUACUGUGCGACUAGAGUGCGGAAGGGCAACUGGAAUUCUCGGUGUAGCGGUGAAAUGCGUAGAUAUCGAGAGGAACACCUGCGCGAGCGUGCUGCGACUGACGCUGAGUGCGAGCGUGAGCAACAGG